rnacentral:rRNA from 1 species
AUUGAACGCUGGCGGCAUGCCUUACACAUGCAAGUCGAACGGUAGCGGGCCUUCGGGUGCCGACGAGUGGCGAACGGGUGAGUAAUGUAUCGGAACGUACCAUUGAGUGGGGGAUAACGUAGCGAAAGUUACGCUAAUACCGCAUAUUCUGUGAGCAGGAAAGCAGGGGAUCGCAAGACCUUGCGCUGAUUGAGCGGCCGAUAUCAGAUUAGCUAGUUGGUGAGGUAAAGGCUCACCAAGGCGACGAUCUGUAGCGGGUCUGAGAGGAUGAUCCGCCACACUGGAACUGAGACACGGUCCAGACUCCUACGGGAGGCAGCAGUGGGGAAUUUUGGACAAUGGGCGCAAGCCUGAUCCAGCCAUGCCGCGUGAGUGAAGAAGGCCUCGGUUGUAA